CCACACACAAACUUCAUAAGUACUUGACUGUACCUAGUAGCCUUCCAUCAUUGCAUUAGAAAUCUAGAUAGUCCGGCAUCAAAGCACAGUGAGUUGCUUGCAAGUCACUAUGAUAAUCUCAGAUUUGAAGGAUACUUAUACCUAUAUAUUUCGUGAGCAGCUCUUGACAGCAGAAUGCUCAACAAAUGAGUCACUUGUUCAGUGAUGAUGUAUCCUCACAUCUCAUCUGUAUGCCAUACCAGUGUCACCAUACUCCUUGAUUAAGGAGACAACCAACCCACAUGGCACACAACGAUCUUUACUCGAUGAACAUCAUCAUCUUGUAAUGACGUAUCAUUUGAUCGCGAACA
rnacentral:lncRNA from 1 species